UACGAGGGGGGCAAAUGUUGUUCGGAAUCACUGGGCGUAAAGGGAGCGUAGGCGGGUUUUUAAGUCAGGUGUUUAAUCCCGGGGCCCAACCCCGGACAGGCACUUGAAACUGGGAAUCUUGAAUAGUGGAGAGGUCGGUGGAAUUGGGGGUGUAGCGGUGGAAUGCGUAGAGAUCCCCAAGAACACCCGUUGCGAAGGCGGCCGACUGGACACAUAUUGACGCUGAGGCUCGAAGGCAUGGGGAGCAAACAGG
rnacentral:rRNA from 1 species